AGCUAGUUGGUAGGGUAAUGGCCUACCAAGGCAACGAUGGUUAGCUGGUCUGAGAGGAUGAUCAGCCACACUGGAACUGAGACACGGUCCAGACUCCUACGGGAGGCAGCAGUGAGGAAUAUUGCGCAAUGGGGGCAACCCUGACGCAGCAACGCCGCGUGAGUGAGGAAGGUUUUCGGACCGUAAAGCUCUGUCGAGCGGGAAGAAAUGCAUAGUGGCUAAUAUCCAUUAUGCUUGACGGUACCGCUAAAGGAAGCACCGGCUAACUCCGUGCCAGCAGCCGCGGUAAUACGGGGGGUACUAGCGUUGUUCGGAAUCAUUGGGCGUAAAGAGCGUGUAGGCGGCUGGAUAAGUCAGAUGUGAAAGCCCUGGGCUUAACCCAGGAAGUGCAUUUGAAACUGUUCAGCUUGAGUAAGGGAGAGGAAAGUGGAAUUCCUGGUGUAGAGGUGAAAUUCGUAGAUAUCAGGAGGAACACCGGUGGCGAAGGCGACUUUCUGGCCCUAUACUGACGCUGAGACGCGAGAGCGUGGGUAGCAAACAGGAUUAGAUACCCUGGUAGUCCACGCUGUAAACGAUGUUCACUAGGUGUUGGGGGUAUUGACCCUCUCAGUGCCGCAGCUAACGCA
rnacentral:rRNA from 1 species